AUGCUCCCUUCUGCAGUACAUACAUUCAAACUGAAAUGAUGUAGAGAAGAUUAGCAAGCACAACCCAUGUGCACGGAUGACACCCAAAUUCAUGAUGAGUGCCAUAUUAUA